rnacentral:rRNA from 1 species
UACGAAGGGGGCUAGCGUUGCUCGGAAUCAUUGGGCGUAAAGGGUGCGUAGGCGGGUCUUUAAGUCAGGGGUGAAAUCCUGGAGCUCAACUCCAGAACUGCCUUUGAUACUGAGGAGCUCGAGUCCGGGAGAGGUGAGUGGAACUGCGAGUGUAGAGGUGAAAUUCGUAGAUAUUCGCAAGAACACCAGUGGCGAAGGCGGCUCACUGGCCCGGUACUGACGCUGAGGUGCGAAAGCGUGGGGAGCAAACAGG